AUUAAGACAUCCUUUAAUUAAAAUUAUUAAUAACUAUUUAAUUGACUUACCUGCCCCAACAAAUAUUUCAUUUUGAUGAAAUUUUGGAUCCCUAUUAGGGUUAUGUUUGGUGAUUCAAAUCGUAACUGGACUAUUUUUAGCUAUACAUUAUACAUCAAAUAUUGAAAUAGCAUUCAGUAGUGUAGUACACAUCUGCCGAGACGUAAAUAAUGGUUGAAUUAUCCGAACCUUACACGCAAAUGGAGCAUCUAUAUUUUUUAUUUGUAUUUACUUACAUGUAGGACGGGGAAUUUACUAUGGAUCUUAUAUAUAUAUACAUACCUGAAUAAUUGGUACAGUGAUUUUAUUUUUAGUUAUAGCAACUGCAUUUAUAGGAUAUGUCUUACCCUGAGGCCAAAUAUCUUUUUGAGGUGCAACAGUAAUUACUAAUUUAUUAUCAGCAAUCCCAUACUUAGGAACAGAUUUAGUCCAAUGAGUAUGAGGAGGAUUCGCUGUUGAUAAUGCAACAUUAAAUCGAUUCUUCACAUUCCAUUUUGUAUUACCAUUUAUUAAUGCUGCUAUAGCAGCAAUUCAUUUAUUUUUUCUUCACCAAACAGGAUCUAAUAAUCCUCUUGGACUAAAUGGAGAUAUUGAAAAAAUUCCAUUCCAUCCAUACUUUACCUUUAAGGAUUCUAUUACAUUUGUAAUAAUAACAUCAUUAUUAAUUAUACUAUGUUUAAUUAAUCCUUACCUAUUAGGAGAUCCAGAUAACUUUGUACCUGCCAACCCAUUAGUAACACCAGUUCACAUUCAACCAGAAUGAUAUUUCCUAUUUGCAUAUGCAAUUCUACGAUCUAUCCCUAAUAAGUUAGGAGGUGUUAUUGCAUUAUUUUUAUCAAUUAGAAUCUUAAUAAUUUUACCAUUUUAUAAUAAAACACCAUUCCGAGGCAUUCAAUUUUACCCUAUUAAUCAAAUUUUAUUCUGAAUUAUAGUAGUUGUUGUAUGCUUACUAACGUGAAUUGGUAAACGACCUGUUGAAGAACCUUAUAUUAUAACAGGUCGUUUACCAAUUCACGUUAGUAAGCAUACAACAACUACUAUAAUUCAGAAUAAAAUUUGAUUAAUAGGGUAAAAUUGAAUGCCUCGGAAUGGUGUUUUAUUAUAAAAUGGUAAAAUUAUUAAGAUUCUAAUAGAUAAAAAUAAUGCAAUAACACCUCCUAACUUAUUAGGGAUAGAUCGUAGAAUUGCAUAUGCAAAUAGGAAAUAUCAUUCUGGUUGAAUGUGAACUGGUGUUACUAAUGGGUUGGCAGGUACAAAGUUAUCUGGAUCUCCUAAUAGGUAAGGAUUAAUUAAACAUAGUAUAAUUAAUAAUGAUGUUGUUAUUACAAACGUAAUAGAAUCCUUAAAGGUAAAGUAUGGAUGGAAUGGAAUUUUUUCAAUAUCUCCAUUU